CGCUGUGAACCGCAUAUCGCAAAUCCGCUUAAUAGUUAAAACCGCAAAUUCGUUGACGACCGCCGCUUAAUUCUUUCUCUGAUUUUGAUUAAGUAUUUCUGAAAGUAAUUAACGUCUGUAUUAAGUUUGUGCAAGUGUAUUUUGUCAAUCAAUGAUGUCCCAGAGCACUUGUACCAACGCUCGUGAGCGCAGGUAGAAGAAGGUUGAGGAAAAUGAUCUACAUCAGGGCUGCAAGGCGCGCAACAUAGACGAUGAGGUUCUCAGAGGUUGAGAAAAAUGAUUUACAUCAGGGCGGCAAGGCGCGCUACAUAGACGAUGGGGUUCUCAGAGGUUGAGGAAAAUGAUUUACAUCAGGGCGACAAGGCGUGCGACAUAGACGAUAGGGUUCACAGAUGUUGAAGAAAAUGGUCUACAUCAGGACGGCAAGGCGCGCGACAUAGACGAAAGAGUUCUCAGAGGUUGUUGGUGGGAGAGUUGCCUAUCGGUGCACUCUUCGGUGCUUGAAGGCGAUGGAUAUAUGAGGACGCGGAUUCGAAUAACAGGAGUUCUGACUUUAUAUUAAAACCUCCCUGGUGAAAAUAAUUUUACAAUUUUUCACGCGAAAUUAUGUGAAAACUACGAUUUUUUAAUUAUAUAAUUAGAAGUUUUUGAAUUAUUUCAACGUGGUUUUUACGUCAAAUCUACGCGAUUUGGGCCAUACUAUAUUUGUAGUUUUUUAUAAAUUUACGUAAAAAGUUAUGAUUUUCUACAACCACAUUACGUAAUUUAUAUAAAUAUUGCAGAAUAUUUCUGAUUUUCUAUUUCCUUUAUUUAUUCAGACAUUUGUCCGAUUUCUGAACAAUCAAUUUAAUAUUUAAGUUCUCUGUGUUGAAAUUGUAUCAAAAAAAUUAAACUAAUGAAAAAUUGUUGAUUAUAAUAGCUACUUUUUAAAUGCUUUAUAUAAUUCUCGUGACUAAAACUUAAUGCGAGUUAGAUAGCUCAGCUUGCGACGCAUAGCAGUAAAUGAAAGAACUAUAUGUGAUUACAUUAUAAUAUAACAGUAAUAUUUUGCAAUGUCUUCAAUAAA